AGUGAACGCUGGCGGUAGGCCUAACACAUGCAAGUCGAACGGCAGCACAGUAAGAGCUUGCUCUUACGGGUGGCGAGUGGCGGACGGGUGAGGAAUACAUCGGAAUCUACUUUUUCGUGGGGGAUAACGUAGGGAAACUUACGCUAAUACCGCAUACGACCUACGGGUGAAAGCAGGGGAUCUUCGGACCUUGCGCGAUUGAUUGAGCCGAUGUCGGAUUAGCUAGUUGGCGGGGUAAAGGCCCACCAAGGCGACGAUCCGUAGCUGGUCUGAGAGGAUGAUCAGCCACACUGGAACUGAGACACGGUCCAGACUCCUACGGGAGGCAGCAGUGGGGAAUAUUGGACAAUGGGCGCAAGCCUGAUCCAGCCAUACCGCGUGGGUGAAGAAGGCCUUCGGGUUGUAAAGCCCUUUUGUUGGGAAAGAAAAGCAGCAGGUUAAUACCCCGCUGUUCUGACGGUGCCCAAAGAAUAAGCACCGGCUAACUUCGUG
rnacentral:rRNA from 1 species